AGUGAACGCUGGCGGUAGGCCUAACACAUGCGAGUCGAACGGCAGCACAGUAAGAGCUUGCCCCUACGGGUGGCGAGUGGCGGAUGGGUGAGGAAUACAUAGGAAUCUACUAUGUCGGGGGGGAUAACGUAGGGAAACUGAUGCUAAUACCGCAUACGACCUACGGGUGAAAGCAGGGGAUCUUCGGACCUUGCGCGACAGAAUGAGCCGAUGCCGGAUUAGCUAGUUGGUGGGGUAAAGGCACACCAAGGCAACGAUCCGUAGCUGGUCUGAGAGGAUGAUCGGCCACACUGGAACUGAGACACGGUCCAGACUCCUACGGGAGGCAGCAGUAGGGAAUCUUGGGCAAUGGGCGCAAGCCUGACCCAGCCAUGCCGCGUGAGUGAAGAAGGCCUUCGGGUUGUAAAGCCCUUUUGUUGGGAAAGAAAAGCAGCAGGUUAAUCCCCCGCUGUUCUGACGGUACCCAAAGAAUAAGCACCGGCUAACUUCGUG
rnacentral:rRNA from 1 species